AUGCGAAGGAUGCGGGGCGGAAGGUCUACUCCGUGCCCGGCGCCCGCUCGCAGCCGGGAACCACUCCCGCCGCCGGCCGCGUUGCCGGGUGAGCCAUCUCCCCCCACCCCCAACCCCCACAGCGCACCGCGGUCCCCGCAGCGUGACCUGGACCUCCCGUCCUCCAGGGGGCGCUGCCCGGGCCCGGCCCGCAGACCGACCCUCCGAGUGGAUAGGCCGGGGCGGAGCCGCGGGGAGACACGGGGACCCGCGGAGCCGCGAGCCGGAGCUGCCCGGCCCGGCCCGGCCCACCCCGCCCCGCCGGUGAGAGCUACGAAGGGCAGAGCGGCCACCAUGUUCAACCAGCAGCAGCAGUUCCAGCAGCUCCAGCAGCAGCAGCUUCAACAGCAGCAAUUGCUGCAGCUUCAGCAGCUGCUCCAGCAGUCCCCACCGCAGGCCCCACUGCCCAUGACCGUCAGCAGGGGGCUCCCCCAGCAGCAGCCACAGCAGCAGCUCCUGACUCUCCAGGGGACCAGCCCCACCUCCCUCCUCAACGGCUCUGUGCUGCAGAGAGCUUUGCUUCUGCAGCAGUUACAAGGUAUGGCUGCGGGCUCACUGAAUCUCAUCCAAGCCACACAGCAACUCUGAGAGGGAGCUACUGUCAAUAUCCCAGUUUACAGAUGAGGAUACUGAGGCUCUGGGAGGUGGAAGUCCCUAGGUUGCUCAGCUGAAUGCAGGUCUGUCUGAUCACAGAGGCCUGCCCUUGGCCAUGGUGCUAGCUCUGUGGGCGCUGCUCAGCACAUAUUUUCCUGACAUUGAGAGAUUAGAUGAUAUGAUGGAUGGAAAGAUCUAUUUUGACCACCCUCCUUUGCAUCCAUCCUGUUUGACAGAUGAAGACACUGAGGUCCAGAGAAGGGAAGUCAUUCACCCUGGGUCACACAGUAUCAGCAAUGGCUGAGCUAGAUGGAGGCCUCGGCCUCCUGGCCCUUGGAUCUCUGAGUAGGUGUCUCUAGCCCUCUGCAUUAAGCCUGUGCCUUCCCCCUGGGUUUCUCCACGUGGAGAGCAGUCUUUCAGCUUUUCUUUCCAUAAUGCUGCUCCCAAUAUUUCAGCCACUGUGGGAGGAGGCAGAGGUCCAGAGACAUGGAGCCAUCUCUUCUUCAGACCUAGCCCCUCCCACAGGGUAGCUGUGACAUGCUGACUGGUCCUUCAGAGCUGAGCACUGUGCUGAGCCCCUUACAAAUCCAGUUUCUUGACUCUGCUGACAACCCUAAGGGGAGAUACACUCAUGGCCCCAUUUUACAGAUGAAGGAACUGAGGACCAGGUGUUGACUAGAGGUCUUACUACAGAGCUUUGUUCUGAGACACCAGGCUCUCCUGCCUCCCAGCAGGGUAUGCAGCCUGGUCAGAAGAUGUGAUAUUGUCACUCUUCAGCCCUCCCGUGGCCACAUGGGUGUGGAUCAUCCUGGGAGCUGGCUUAUAAAUUGUAGAGGGAUGGAUAGAGAGAUAAGACCACAUACAGAAACCCACAAUGUUUACUUUUUUUUUUUCACUCUUUUCUUUCUCAUUUUAAAAGUCACACUCUUCAAAGAGCAAAAGAAAUGUUUUAAAAAGGACAAGAAAAUCCAAAUCAUAUGUAGACUCACUUCUAAAGAAAAAGAACACCCAUUAAAGUGUUGGUAUAUUUCCUCCCAUUUUUUUUGUAGGCACAGAAUUGAGGCUUUAUAUAUGACUGUGAUUACUGAUAUACAUGAAAAGUUGUAUUUUGUUUGUUUUUCACUGAGCGGAAUGGCAUGUUCAUUUACAUAUGAUUUGACAGUCUCUAUAAAGAUUAUUUUUAACAGCUGUUUAAUAUUCCUCUGGAGGUGUGUGCCCUCUUGUUCCUAAACUUUCUCAGCUGUUUCCUUCUACUUCUUUCUUCUUUCUUUUCUUUUUUGCUGCUUUAAAUAAUGGAGUGAGUAUCAUGUUUGAGAAUAUUUUCCUGGAAUGGAUUCCCAAAAGU
ensembl:lncRNA